UCAUCGUCAUCGAAAGCCGGUGGUUGGCC
rnacentral:piRNA from 1 species